rnacentral:lncRNA from 1 species
AACUUCUGGGGGAAUCACCAUCCCUGACUUCAAUACAAUGCAGAGCAAUAGUCAUAAAAACUGUAUGGUAUUGGUACAGAGACAAGCAAGUAGAUCAGUGGAACAGAAUUGAAGACCUAGAAAUGAACCCACACACCUAUAGCGACUUGAUCUUUGACAAAGGAGCUAAAACCAUCCAAUGGAAGAAAGAUAGCAUUUUCAACAAAUGGUGCUGGUUUAACUGGAGGUCAGCAUGUAGAAGAAUGCAAAUUGAUCCAUUCUUAUCACCAUGUACAAAGCUUAAGUCCAAGUGGAUCAAGGACCUCCACAUCAAACCAGAUACACUCAAACUAAUAGAAGAAA